CAGUAGCCGCGGUAAUACGUAGGUGGCAAGCGUUGUCCGGAAUUAUUGGGCGUAAAGGGCUCGCAGGCGGUUUCUUAAGUCUGAUGUGAAAGCCCCCGGCUCAACCGGGGAGGGUCAUUGGAAAUUGGGAAACUUGAGUGCAGAAGAGGAGAGUGGAAUUCCACGUGUAGCGGUGAAGUGCGUAGAGAUGUGGAGGAACACCUGUGGCGAAGGCGACUCUCUGGUCUGUAACUGACGCUGAGGAGCGAAAGCGUGGGGAGCGAACAGGAUUAGAUACCCCUGUAGUCCCUGUCUCUUAUAC
rnacentral:rRNA from 1 species